UACGUAGGGGGCAAGCGUUUUCCGGAUUUAUUGGGCGUAAAACGCGCGUAGGCGGCCAGAUAAGUCCGGUGUGAAAGUCCCAGGCUCAACCUGUGAAUGCCGCUGGAAACUGUCUGGCUUGAGUCCGGAAGGGGCGAGUGGAAUUCCUGGUGUAGCGGUGAAAUGCGCAGAUAUCAGGAGGAACACCGAUGGCGAAGGCAGAUCUCUGGGCCGUAACUGACGCUGAGGAGCGAAAGCAUGGGGAGCGAACAGG
rnacentral:rRNA from 1 species